UACGUAGGGGCAAGCGUUGUCCGGGUUUACUGGGCGUAAAGCGCGUGUAGGCGGAAGCGAAAGUCCGGUGUGAAAGCCCCCGGCUCAACCGGGGAAGGUCGCUGGAAACUGCGCUUCUUGAGGACGGCAGAGGGAAGUGGAAUUGCUGGUGUAGCGGUGAAAUGCGUAGAGAUCAGCAGGAACACCCGUGGCGAAGGCGGCUUCCUGGGCCGUGCCUGACGCUGAGACGCGAAAGCGUGGGGAGCGAACGGG
rnacentral:rRNA from 1 species